CGGUCUCAAAAAUAAACAUUAGAAAAAAAAAAGAGUUGGCCACUUAACUGACUGAGUCACGCAGGUGCCCCUGCGUGUUGACAUUUCUUAAGUUUCAACGAAUCUGUGUUAAUUCCAGGUCUAGAAUCCGGGCCGCUACCUGCCCACAAUGAUCUCUAUUACUGAAUCCCUGGAACCUAUGAAUGUAUUACCUUACUAGGCAAAAGGGACUUUCAAAUGAGAUUAAGGAUUGGGGAGAUGGAGAGAUUUUUCUGAAUUAUCCAGGUGAGUCCAAUCUGAUCACAUGGAUCCUUUAAAAACAGAGAACAUUCCCUGUCUGUGCGGAGGGGGUGUGACUGCGGAAGGAAGGGGCGGGAUGGAUGUAAUGGGGGAAGGACUCAGCCCAGCGUUACCGGUUUUGAAGAUGGAGGAAGGGGGCCAUGAGCCAAGGAGUGUGGGCAGCUUCUGGAAGCUAAGAAAAGGCAAGGAAUCGGUUUCUUCCUUAGCAUCUACAGAGAGGAAUUCAGUCUUGCCAACACCUUGAAUUUAGCUCAGCAUGACCCAUUUUAGGCUUUUGACCCAAAGAAGCGUAAGAUAAUGCAACGCGCGUGUUGUUUUCAGUCACUAAGUUUGUCGUAAUUUGUUACAGCGGCAUUAGGUGACUGACAGACCGCCCUGGUCCAGAUGGGCAGGCCCUCAAAAGAUACAAAGACAACCAAUUCUUCAUAAUAACUAGGCACUUGAGAAUUGUUUAUAAAUCACGUAAUCGGGAGAUCUCAGCUACCUGGGGCUCCUGCAAAAUUUGUCAAGGUGGUAACGGAGUUUCUCCGAAUGGCUGAGGAUUUACUCAUGUAAGACCCCAAAUGUUUUUUAUUUUAACCAUUUUGUAAGAUGAGCAUUUUUAACUUUUAAGAAGUUUAAAAUUUCACAUUUUAAGUUGAACAUUCAAGUUUAACAUUUUACCCUUAGGGGAGAUGAAUGUCUUUAUAAAUCAGAGAUCUAUAUUAUAUAUAUACAUACACAUAAAUAUUUCUUCAUCUACAUGGGUAUAUACUUAUAUAUUCUUUUCUACUUAAGCAGAAUACAUUAAACUUUAUUUAACAUUUUUGCGCCGCGUGGGAGGAUUUCCUAUUUUGAGCAUUAGUUCCUACCCAAUACUAUGGCAUCACCGUUGUGGCUAAGUACUGGAAAACGACCAUAUGUGGCAGAUUUUCUGGAAUGAUUCCACUUUUAAAUAUUCUGUCCCACCUUCCUUAUUCUGGCCAGAUGACCUUUCCUGAUCUUCUGCUCAGGUACCCCUGUCCUAUAGCUGUGUGGCUACUUGCCUUCAAAAUAAUCGGCCCCAGGCUAGCGUGCAAAAGGGAAUUCUAAAUCAUACGUUUGCCUUGAAUACAUUAAAAGGAAAUAAAAAUAUUUUUGCAGUUUCCUGCGUGUUACCUUUCGGCCCUGAUAAUGAAUUUUGUGCACAAACUUUGUAGUUAAUCGUGUCAUCCUUAUCGGGCUGUUGGCAUGAUGACGCUAAGUAAGGCAGGAAGUUAACUGGCCAGCUUGUCAAGCAGUCGAUCUGUAACAGGGCCAUGGGGAAAACUCAGAAUCCCUUAGUCUCUCCCUGUUCCUUGACCUGGUGAAUCUACCCUCUUGCUUUCGACUUAAAUAGCAACCCCAGUGCCUCUCCUGGGGGGUCCUUUAAACAAGACUAGAGCCACCGCCCAAACAAACCAGCGUGAUUAUGGUUUCCCUUCUCAAAACAAUAUUUCCUUUCUAAAUCCAGUCUCGGAAAAUCUAACCCAACACAGGCCUCCAGGCUCCAACCACGACCAUCUUCAAAAAGGCAUACGAGAUGUUCCGUUUCUCAGUCUGGUUGCAGCAGCCAAACUCACCGCCUGCUCAAAUGACUGAGACAGGAGGCCCCUUUCCAGGGGGUGGUGUGGCUGGAACCAGCUUUGUAGCCAAGGCCUCCCAGCUUAGUGGUCCUAGCCCCCCGAGGACCUAUUUGAUUAACUGCGCCACUCCUAUGGUUACUAACCGCUCUUAACACAAAGAGGGGUCAGUAAGGCUGUGGGGACGAGCUGGCGUUUCUCUGAACUCACUUAGCUAGGGUAGAGAGGGAGGGGGUGAGGGAGUGUGUGUUUGUGUGAGUCUGUGUGAGUGUGAACCGGGUGGGACCGUGUACGUGCGUGAACCGGGUGGGACGUGUCUUUGUAUCCGGGAAUAUGAAUUGCGCGAGUGCAUGUGUGUAUUACAUGUGCACGCAUGCGCGCGUGUGCGAUCCCACGUGCCACCGAGGGGAAAGCGAGACAGAGACGGAGAGAGGAAGCCUAGCAGGAAAAGAGAACCCACGGAAAAAGACAGAGACACAGACACGUGUAGGGACAGACAUAAAGAAUGAGUGAGUGAAAGACGCAAGGAGAGGAAAUGAGCGACGGAGGGCAGAGGCAGGGGGUAAGAGCGCAGAAAGAAGGAGACAGAAGAGGAGAGACCGGAGGCACGAGCCCUGCCCAUUUCCCGAGCUUAGCAACAUCAAACAAAGGAAGUCACGCUAGCCCUGUGCCUCAACAAGGCAAACGGUCUGUGCCCCAGCCUGGGUUCCUCCCUCCCAGGACACACGUGGAUGGAGCCGAGCCGGGGGCCAGAGGGGCUGAAGAGGCAGAGACCUGAGUCUGGGAACAACGAAAACCCUGCCUGGAAUUCAGUGCUGAGCAGUGACUGAGGAGAGGGGCUGACGUGGGAAGGGGUGUGGCUCCAGUGGGAGCCUUCUCAUGCUUAUGGGACAGGCCAUCUGCCUGGGGACUGGGGAGGGUCUCAGGCCCAGCUCCCCCACGGACCUGCUGUGUUACUUGUUUUCCUGUUUAGGCCCGGAUUCAUUUAUUUAUUGUUUUCAUGUGCCGAAGAUGGCGUGGCACGGGAUCAGUGGUCUCCAAAAGGCUCUGGGGAUUCCGGCGCGUUCCAGGGAGCUCCCUCAGGGCCUGUGGACGAGGGUAGUUGAGUGAGCAGGGAGCCAGCUGUCCCCCCCUGCACCAGCCUGAUCGGCCCCCCGCUUGCGUUCUGCCUCGGUUUGAAGACGGCUGAACAAAAGCAAGCGGGAAGCCCCUUGUGCCGGACCAUGUCCCCAUCCCUGCCGGUCCCGACACUUCCCACUCCAGAGCGUGGAGAGCACCGCAGGGACCCUGGGACAGAGGAGGCAGUGCACUUUGGCAGAGGAGCAACUCAUUUCUUUCAUACGAUCAGGGGGUCUAGACUCUUCUCGGCUGGGCCCCAGCGCUGGAAACUCCCCCACAGAGGCUGACUCCUGGGGACUAAGGCACGUGUGUACACGGGCUGAAGGAGGUGGAAGGGUGCACCCCACCCUGAAGGGCAUAGUCUCGUCACUGGAAUUUCUGGGUUGGGCAAACCAUUCAUUGAUAUCGUGUUCAGCCAUAACGAAAUAAAGAAGGUACUUCCUUGAAAUGAGGGCUACCUUGAUGAUUACAAAUCCUGCCAGAAACCAAGGGAAACCCAGAGGAGAUGACUCAUCGGGUUAGAAGGUCAGAUUCAAGCUCCAUCGGAUGGCAGUGGCCGUUCCUUUCUGCCAGCCAGCUGCGCUCGCUGCACCCAGGCCUCCCAGCUGGCCCGUCCCCGCUCUGCCCGUCCACGCCUCACUCGGGCCCACCCACUCUGUCAACAAGCAGGUGCUAUCCCUCAGGGUACGUCAUCGAGGCAUAUGCCAUUUCUGGGCUCCUGAGCUGCCCCCACUAACGUCACAGUGGCUUGCCCUGUGCCUUGCGUCUUCCGGAAGGAUCAGAGGGCAGGCAAGCGACGGGAAAACCAGCCCUCCUCUGUUGAGUUCUCUUAGUGCUUUCCUCUUGGACUGGGGAGCAAUGAGGUGGGGAGUGGGGGACGGGCCUGCGUGCGGAAGCUGGGGGGAGGGGGAGGCAUUCGCCAUCAGAUGGAAAAAUGACCAAGUGCUCAAAAGCCAGGUGGACAAAUCUGCCAAAUCAGUAGAACGACGUCCUGUUCCGUCCAGAGGGUACAGCAAACACAGAUGGACAAAGCACAGUGGUAAUUACAUCUCCGAAGAAGAUGCUAAAUAUUUCAAGGCCUGCCUGGUGCUGAUUCAUAUCAGAGGGAAUUUUAUGAUAGUGGGUUUCACAGGCAGGAAACUUGUGUAGCGAGGUAUUUCUUUCCUCUCUCUUAAAAAGUGCUGCGUCCAUGUCGUACCGUGUAGCAGGUAAGGGCUACGUUCCCUUUACGUAAAUCAUCAGCACCUUUAGCUCAGCCUGAGUUCUCACACUGGGUCGUUCUUCACCGUGGCUGCCUCGUGGCCAGGGAAAUCUCUCCAUAAUUGGACCAUAGUUGAUUACUGUUUCCAGGGGCAACCACUUCAGAUUUCUAGCAUGUGGGUGGUUUGCACACAUGAGUCACGCAGGUGUUAAUGUUCCUCCAGAAGAACCAGCCGUGUCCUUUUACCAGGGCCUGCCAAUCUGCUCACUGGGGAGGCUUGCCCCACCACCGCAGGGGGCACAAAAGGCCAGCCCCUUGCCCCAAAGGACCGCGCGGCUGCCACCUGCAAACACUCCAGUGCCCUUGUGCCUCAGGUCACGGCUCACCUUUCCUUGAGAGCGAUUCUUGCACUGCCCUCCUCAAACUCCCUCCAUAAAUCACGUGCCUCCAGGCCCCGUCUCAGGCUCUGCUUCUGUGCGUCUCUAGAUCAGUGGCCCCAAAGAGCUGGCAUUCCAGGGUCUUUCCCCUGGUGCCAUAGAUGGCUCCCGACCCAGUGUGGUUUCCCUAGUUCUUCUAGAAGCUUGCCUGGGCAGCAGAGGCUGAUUGUGGUGGCCCUGCUCCAACACAGGGAGGCAGCAAGUCACAUCGCUGGAAAGCGCUCUGCCAGUUGACCUUGGCCUCGGCAGGUGAAUUCUUCCUAGGAGGCAUCAGCAAGGCAAAGUGUUUCAGAUCUGAGCGCCACAGAAGCAAAGUGGUGGCCAGAGACGGAGCCCGUUGCUUUGUGUAGAUGUGCAAAGGGCUGCUGUGAAUGGGGUCUCCCGUACCAAACUACACCUGGGUCUUAGUCACUUCUGGCUGCUGCCACAGAAUACCAUAGACCGGGUGCCUUGUAAACAACAUUUACUUCCCACAGUUGUGGAAGCUGGGCAGCUCAUGAUCAAGGUGCCGGCAGAUUCAGUGUCUGAUAAGAGUCUGUUUCCUGGUUCACGGACCACUGUCCCCUUGGAGGGUCCUUACAUGACAGAAGGAGCGGGGGGGGGGGGGGUGCUCUAAUGUCUCUUAUAUAAGGGCACUAAUCCCAUUCAUGAGGGCUUCCACCUUUAUAAGCCAAUUAUCUCCCAAAAUACCAUCACAAUAAGGGAGUAGGUUUCCACAUGGGGAUUUGGCAGUGGGUGGGGGGUGGGGGGACACAAACAUUCACUCUAUAGCAGGCUGUCAUCUGAAAUUCCACUCUUAGAGAUUUAGUCCUUUAUGUUGAAACACAAUGUGACUUCUUCUAUUGUCAGCUAUUAGCAGCUUUGUGUGAAUUAGUUUGUUCCGGGGUCCAAUGUGACAGUUGGUCCCAGCAGUCUUGGACGGGGGGAGGGAGGAAAGUCAGGACCAGAAUAAAAGCUUGGACGAGGGCACCUCUGCCAUGGGCCUGGGUGGUGGGAGAGGGGCAUCGCCAGGGCUGGCUUCUUCCUGGAUUCGCUGACAAUAUUCAAUCUGGCAAUUUCAAACUGAAUCGCUGGCAAUUUCAAACUGACAACCCCAGUUUUAAACUUCCCUCCCUCCCAUAUCUCAUGGUCACGCGCGAUCACAGACACAGAGGAGGACUUAAAAAUGCAUGCUCUUCAACAAAAAGACAAAGACUGUAGGAUUCCACGUCCAUGAGGUCAACCUCCUAGAAACGGAGGGGAGAGUGGGGACUGCCAGCGGCUGGAGGGAGGGGGAUGGGGAGAGCUGUUUAGCGAGUAUGGAAGGGUUCUGGACGUCAGCUGCACCAGCAGCGUGAGUCUACUUAAUACCGCUGAUAUGUGAACUUAAAAUGGUGACAGUGCUAGAUUUUACGUUAUGUGUGUUUUGCCACAAUUAAAAAUGCUUUUCAAAGAC